UCCCCGGUCGUCCAACGGCAGGACGCGCGGCUCUGGUCCGCGUAAUCGAGGUUCGAAUCCUCGCCGGGGAG
rnacentral:tRNA from 1 species